UACGGAGGGUGCAAGCGUUAAUCGGAAUUACUGGGCGUAAAGCGCACGCAGGCGGUCUGUCAAGUCGGAUGUGAAAUCCCCGGGCUCAACCUGGGAACUGCAUCCGAAACUGGCAGGCUAGAGUCUUGUAGAGGGGGGUAGAAUUCCAGGUGUAGCGGUGAAAUGCGUAGAGAUCUGGAGGAAAACCGGUGGCGAAGGCGGCCCCCUGGACAAAGACUGACGCUCAGGUGCGAAAGCGUGGGGAGCAAACAGGAUUAGCUACCCUGGUCGUCCACGCCGUAAACGAUGUCGACUUGGAGGUUGUGCCCUUGAGGCGUGGCUUCCGGAGCUAACGCGUUAAGUCGCCCGCCUGGGGAGUACGGCCGCAAGGUUAAC
rnacentral:rRNA from 1 species